CGGUGUGGCGCCAAGGAGAUUGUCCGGUUACGCGCAGAGUGGACUGAGGUGAUCUUGGGGAAUAACGACGGAGUUUGUUACAGUGUUGAGACACCGAAGUUUAUUGUUCAAUUGGCUUUUUUCUUUACGGUCAGGGACAGUAUGAGUGUAGACAUAUCCUUUUCACUCUCUAUCCUUGUUUCAUUUUGUGGUUAACCGGAUUCAUCAUCAUCGAGAUGAGGGACAGACGAACGACCUGCUAGCCAGUCGUUACAGCUCGGUAAACUAGCUAGCUACUCUACCAGCAGCAUCCUAGUUAUCCUGGCUAGUCGGUACAGCUCGGUAAGCUAGCUAGCUACUCUACCAGCAGCAUCCUAGUUAUCCUAGCCAGUCGGUACAGCUCGGUAAGCUAGCUAGCUACUCUAACAGCAGCAUCCUAGUUAUCCUAGCCAGUCGGUACAGCUCGGUAAUCUAGCUAGCUACUCUACCAGCAGCAUCCUAGUUAUCCUAGCUAGUCGGUACAGCUCGGUAAGCUAGCUAGCUACUCUACCAGCAGCAUCCUAGUUAUCCUAGCUAGUCGGUACAGUGUUAGUGUUUAAACCUCUGUGUCCAAGGACCAAACUUUUGAAUAUUAUUUUCAGGGCGCCUCAAUAGCAGCUAUUGAACCCCGGGUAAAUAAUCACUAGUCAGAACCUCAACCUCAGUAUACAUUCAUUAUAAAAAAUCUAUUUAAUAUCUGAUAUUGUGAGUAAACAACCUCGAAAGUGCGUCUUCCAGCCCUCCAAUAAAUUACAUCAUUCAACCCUCCCGGUUAGUAAAUUUACCUCAACAUGCCCCCGGAGAAGGCAGAGUAACGACACCAGCCUUUUAGCGGGGCUGACAGACUGACUACAAUGCUCGCGACGCUAAAUUAAAUUUGUUAUUAAAAAUGACACACUGCUCGCGCGCCAACGAGCGUCUAGAAGUCAGUUCUAUUUGUGACGCAGAUAACGCUGCAUCUCCUCAUUGGUUUAGAGAAGCAGGUACCCACGUUCCAACUCCUCAUUUAACAAAAAAACAUAACUUAACAUUAACUUAACUUCUUUAAACAAUAAAAGCUAAUUUACGAACUUUUCUGAAAUUGAUAUAUAGCGUUAUGGAAUGAAACUCUUGUUUCCCCAUCUGAGCUCAGAGUAGAUGAGAGAUGUAAUGUUUGUCUCUGUUGUGUUGAAGACCAAUCAAGCAGGAGAGACCAGCCUCCCCUGUUCCCAGCUGUGUGUCCAUGAAGAGUGACCGGUCUAUGGAACUACCUAAUAGCUUUUCUACUGAACAAAGGUUUAAGGGCAGCGUAGCACGACUGGUGAACAGGGCAGAGUCCCAGACCAGUAGAAACUGGAUCAGCAGCACAACAAGGUAUCACGUCCGGAUCAUGUAUCAAUACUGUAGAAAGAAAGGGAGCACUGCUCUCAGAUCAGCUUUCUCCAUUCAAAUAUUUCCUUAACAUUAUAAUUAUGUCACAAUACUGACCACAGAUCAGCUUAUAUUAUCACCUAUGUCUUCAAGUAUUGAGAAGGCUUAUUCUAAUUCUUACCCAAUAAAAAUGCACUAAAUCCCAGAUUUGAUCAUUGUGUUCAUGUUAGGAUACACAUCAUUAAAUAUAUUGAGACAAAUAACAGAGUAGCCUACAAGUAGCAAAAUAGAACUCAAUAUAUUGAACAAUAUGAUUGAAAUAGGCCUAAACCCUACAGUUCAUAGUUUAAUGCAGUCAUCUCGGUUUUCAUUUCAAGCAAAUUUGUAGAAGUCCCUUGUUUGAAUCAAUUGCAAAGACAUUGUCAACUUUGUUCUGAAUUUAUCGGUGUCACAGAGAGACUGAUAAACCACGUGAUUCUUCUGUGUAUAAAGUCAUGCGGAAGGGCAAAAAAUCAUCUAACAACACAAUCAGCUACGAGUGGUGUUAGAUUACUCAGAUAUUCUAGUGGUCUGAGGCAGGUGGUAGAUUACUCAGAUAUUCUAGUGGUCUGAGACAGGUGUUAGAUUACUCAGAUAUUCUAGUGGUCUGAGGCAGGUGGUAGAUUACUCAGAUAUUCUAGUGGUCUGAGACAGGUGUUAGAUUACUCAGAUAUUCUAGUGGUCUGAGGCAGGUGGUAGAUUACUCAGCUGUUCUAGUGGUCUGAGGCAGGUGGUAGAUUACUCAGCUGUUCUAGUGGUCUGAGGCAGGUGGUAGAUUACUCAGCUGUUCUAGUGGUCUGAGGCAGGUGUUAGAUUACUCAGCUGUUCUAGUGGUCUGAGGCAGGUGGUAGAUUACUCAGCUGUUCUAGUGGUCUGAGGCAGGUGGUAGAUUACUCAGCUGUUCUAGUGGUCUGAGGCAGGUGGUAGAUUACUCAGCUGUUCUAGUGGUCUGAGGCAGGUGUUAGAUUACUCAGCUGUUCUAGUGGUCUGAGGCAGGUGGUAGAUUACUCAGAAAUUCUAGUGGUCUGAGGCAGGUGGUAGAUUACUCAGCUGUUCUAGUGGUCUGGGGCAGGUGGUAGAUUACUCAGAUAUUCUAGUGGUCUGAGGCAGGUGGUAGAUUACUCAGCUGUUCUAGUGGUCUGAGGCAGGUGGUAGAUUACUCAGCUGUUCUAGUGGUCUGAGGCAGGUGUUAGAUUACUCAGAUGUUCUAGUGGUCUGAGGCAGGUGGUAGAUUACUCAGCUGUUCUAGUGGUCUGAGGCAGGUGGUAGAUUACUCAGCUGUUCUAGUGGUCUGAGGCAGGUGUUAGAUUACUCAGCUGUUCUUGUGGUCUGAGGCAGGUGGUAGAUUCCUCAGCUGUUCUUGUGGUCUGAGGCAGGUGGUAGAUUCCUCAGCUGUUCUUGUGGUCUGAGGCAGGUGGUAGAUUCCUCAGCUGUUCUUGUGGUCUGAGGCAGGUGUUAGAUUACUCAGCUGUUCUUGUGGUCUGAGGCAGGUGUUAGAUUAAUCAGCUGUUCUAGUGGUCUGAGGCAGGUGGUAGAUUACUCAGCUGUUCUAGUGGUCUGAGGCAGGUGGUAGAUUCCUCAGCUGUUCUUGUGGUCUGAGGCAGGUGGUAGAUUCCUCAGCUGUUCUUGUGGUCUGAGGCAGGUGUUAGAUUACUCAGCUGUUCUAGUGGUCUGAGGCAGGUGGUAGAUUACUCAGCUGUUCUAGUGGUCUGAGGCAGGUGGUAGAUUACUCAGCUGUUCUAGUGGUCUGAGGCAGGUGGUAGAUUACUCAGCUGUUCUAGUGGUCUGAGGCAGGUGGUAGAUUACUCAGCUGUUCUAGUGGUCUGAGGCAGGUGGUAGAUUCCUCAGCUGUUCUUGUGGUCUGAGGCAGGUGGUAGAUUCCUCAGCUGUUCUUGUGGUCUGAGGCAGGUGGUAGAUUCCUCAGCUGUUCUUGUGGUCUGAGGCAGGUGUUAGAUUACUCAGCUGUUCUUGUGGUCUGAGGCAGGUGUUAGAUUAAUCAGCUGUUCUAGUGGUCUGAGGCAGGUGGUAGAUUACUCAGCUGUUCUAGUGGUCUGAGGCAGGUGGUAGAUUCCUCAGCUGUUCUUGUGGUCUGAGGCAGGUGGUAGAUUCCUCAGCUGUUCUUGUGGUCUGAGGCAGGUGGUAGAUUCCUCAGCUGUUCUUGUGGUCUGAGGCAGGUGUUAGAUUACUCAGCUGUUCUAGUGGUCUGAGGCAGGUGUUAGAUUACUCAGCUGUUCUAGUGGUCUGAGGCAGGUGUUAGAUUACUCAGCUGUUCUAGUGGUCUGAGGCAGGUGUUAGAUUACUCAGCUGUUCUAGUGGUCUGAGGCAGGUGUUAGAUUACUCAGCUGUUCUAGUGGUCUGAGGCAGGUGUUAGAUUACUCAGCUGUUCUAGUGGUCUGAGGCAGGUGUUAGAUUACUCAGCUGUUCUAGUGGUCUGAGGCAGGUGGUAGAUUACUCAGCUGUUCUAGUGGUCUGAGGCAGGUGGUAGAUUACUCAGCUGUUCUAGUGGUCUGAGGCAGGUGGUAGAUUCCUCAGCUGUUCUUGUGGUCUGAGGCAGGUGGUAGAUUCCUCAGCUGUUCUAGUGGUCUGAGGCAGGUGUUAGAUUACUCAGCUGUUCUAGUGGUCUGAGGCAGGUGGUAGAUUACUCAGCUGUUCUAGUGGUCUGAGGCAGGUGGUAGAUUACUCAGCUGUUCUAGUGGUCUGAGGCAGGUGGUAGAUUACUCAGCUGUUCUAGUGGUCUGAGGCAGGUGGUAGAUUCCUCAGCUGUUCUAGUGGUCUGAGGCAGGUGGUAGAUUACUCAGCUGUUCUAGUGGUCUGAGGCAGGUGGUAGAUUCCUCAGCUGUUCUUGUGGUCUGAGGCAGGUGGUAGAUUCCUCAGCUGUUCUUGUGGUCUG